GACAUCCCGCGCUAUCACCAGAGAUGGUGAGUUCCCUUCGGGGACGCGGUGACAGGUGCUGCAUGGCUGUCGUCAGCUCGUGUCGUGAGAUGUUGGGUUAAGUCCCGCAACGAGCGCAACCCUCGUCCUUAGUUGCCAUCAUUAAGUUGGGCACUCUAAGGAAACCGCCCGUGAUAAGCCGGAGGAAGGGGGGGAUGACGUCAAGUCCUCAUGGGCCUUACACGCUGGGCUACACACGUGCUACAAUGGGGGUGACAGUGGGCAGCGACCUCGCGAGGGGUAGCUAAUCUCCAAAAGCCGUCUCAGUUCGGAUUGUUCUCUGCAACUCGAGAGCAUGAAGGCGGAAUCGCUAGUAAUCGCGGAUCAGCAAGCCGCGGUGA
rnacentral:rRNA from 1 species